AGAUUAAGCUCAAGGUUUUGGACAAGUUAUUGAAUAAAAAACUAUUUUGACCUAGUGGUAGAGAUGCAAGCCCCACUGCAGGUGUGACUCUUGACCUGAACCUUUGCUGCAUGUCAUUCCAAACUCUUUACUUCUGGACUUUCUGGACCCUCUUCAGGUGUCCUCUCAAAAAAAAAAGUCCCAAAAAAGUAACCAAUAAGAAAUGAAAGAUUGGAAUACAGUUUUUAGAAAUGCUUAUGCAAGUGAAGGCAAAUUUUCAUCUUGAUGAGAGUCUGUGAUAUCUUCAACAUCUACCAAAGCUCCAUAUUCUUCCAAUAGUCGCACCCGAAACCUGACAUUUAUAGUUUAUAGAGGUGGCAUGACACUGUGCUUGCUUAGCUAGCAUACUGCUAACGAACUCUGGGCUAUUUCACUUAUUUCAGUUGCUGAUGUUGAUUGUUGAGUAACUUUGGAUGAUAGAAGGAAAAUAGUUAUGUGGUUUACACAAAUUGUGAAUCUGAAUAUUAAAGUAUGGUUAUACACACUCAGAUUGUGAAGUUUUUAGUCAGUUAUGACACAGAAUGAAAUCACGUCUGACACCAACUGUGAGAGCAACUAAAGCAAACAAAACCAUCAUGACAGUAUCCAUUAUUUCUUUAAAGUCAUUAUUGAUGUCUAAAACCACCGCUGUUUUAGGUUGGUAAAAGUGGAAGCCAAAGAUUCUUAGUUAGUGAGACAUUCAACCAUUAAAAGAAAUCAGGAAAAGAUUACUUAUUUAUUAAACUAUUAAAUGAGAAAGCUAAUCACAAGAACUGCUCCUGCUCUUCACAAUCAUGUUUUAAAUGUACUCAAAUUUGACACAGGAUACAUCUACAUGAUGACACUUCACAUACACCUUCUCAUUUGAAAUGAACACGUGUAAAUGGCAGGUGUUAUUGACACAGGGGUGACUGAGCGAUGAAUUUCACCUUAGUUGUGCUGAUGAGUGUUGCUAUCUGAAAUGACAGGGCUGCUGCAACAGUUUGCUUUCCUGACAUUUUGAAAAUUCUGCUGCUAAAAAUUACAACAUCGCAGGGUUCAUCAGUGAAAAAUGUCAAAAAAUAUGAUGUAUAUUCUCUAAGCCAUUUGAGGGCCAAUUUGUGAAGAAAUGUCUCAUUAUUGAAAAUCUUGCAAUCCACAGCUCCCUUUAAUUAUCAGUCAGAGUAUAAGCCUGUUCAGUCUGGUUUGGUGCUGUGUGAUUAGAGUGACACUGACAAAUAUAAAAGCAGAGGAGAGUCAGAGGCCAAGCAAGUAAAUGUCCAGGUCAGUGUGUAAACACGGCUGAUUGUUUGGGACACCCUUGUUAUCUAAAAGUCGUUUCUGUCAUUAACACAGAAGGACACACAUCUCCUCUGGGAGUAGACGGACAGCUCCAGGGUUAAAAGGCACAUGCUGAACUAUCAAUAACUUCCACUAAUUGUAUGCUUUGUAAUUAGAAGCAUAAUCAAUUAUGAGAUCGUUUUUUUUUCUGCCAAUAGAACAAGCUAACAAUGAGGUGAUGUCUGAAUCUGCAUACAGUAAAAAAAUAAAUAAGGCAGUGAAGUUGUCCAUGCAUGUGAUGACAGAGAAUAAUAUGUCUGUAAAAAGCAUUAACAUUUUUUAAAGGAGGCUGAAUGUUCCUGUGAAAGAAAAACCUUGAUCGUUUGACCUCUACAUUGUUGAACUGCAACUGAUGCGCUUAAUCGUCAGCUGUCACUUCCUAUCUUAAUUAAUCCUAAUUGACUAUUGAUGCGACACAACUGUUAGGCUUUAUAAUUAGUAUUGCAAUUUAGACCGGAUAAUCUAACAGGGCAGUCCAAUUACUCCAGAGGAAACAGAAAGCUGUGAGGCAAUAAUUAUGAAACAGUCACUGCACACAAUGAAAAAAAAAAAAUCAAGAGCUUUUUCUUUUGAAAGAGAAAUCCAUGCAUACAUUAAACAAUAAAUGACAAAACAGAACCUCUGCUAAUCUCAUCAGCCAUUCAAUGUAUGAGGGACAACUAAUUGAAUUGAUUGCUGCUAUCAAUAGCAAACAAAUCUGUUGAGUUGUCCAUGCUCAUAUAAUCUGACCUGAUUCCUUCAGCUGUCACUCUCUGUGAGAACGCUGCCACACGAUGCUUUGGCUAAAUCUGUCAGGCUGGGGCAUUUACAUGUCUUUGUGUUGCCAUGUUGAUAGGGCAAUUAAUAAAAUAUAUGUUAAUAGGAGCUUAAUUGUUUUACAACAGUGGUUUGACAAGGCUGAGAGAGAGGAGACUUGUCAGUGAUCUGAAAUGCGUGGCGACUCUCGGCAGUGUAGCCCUCAGCCUAACAUAUGGUCUCCUUUCCAGGCUCUAACUGUACCACAUAAUGGGAGCCUGCUGUUUAUUUUUGAAACAUUAGUGAUGCCACUACUCCUUUUGUCUCCUUCAAGACAAUAGCUGCUGUCUCUGCCUCGCAAGCAAGACACCCCCCCCCCCACACACACACACACACACACAGCCCCCCCUACACACACACACACACACACAACCAAGAUGACAUUUGAAUAAUAAUAACAACAAAUGCAUCACUGAGAGCUGCUACAUUUCUCAAUUAUACACAUAAAUAUCCAUGUUUAUUUGCAUAAACUUAUGAGGGUUCAUCUUUAAAGCAUUUUUGUGCACUCAUCUUUGUAAAAUUUGAACUAGGAGUGGAUUAUGUUUCUUGAUGCAUAAAAGCUCUGCAAAUAAGUCUGUAAUUCUUCAAAACAUAUCCUUUUGUCUUUAAAUUUACUCAAUCUAUUUCACAAAUGUUACUCUAGAGAACUUUACCAACAAACCAAAGGCUUUGUUGAUAUAAAAAAAUUUAUGAAUUGGUCAUUAGAUGUUAAAAAACUGUUCAUUAAAAAAAUAAAAAACACACAUGGCCUUCUUUUUUAAAUUUGCUUCCUGUAUAUUGUCACCUUUCAGUUAUAUUUUUUUCAUGAUGUGUGCUGCUAACCUCUAUGCCAGGUCACCCUUGUGAAAGAGAUCUUGAUCGCAAUGGAUUUUUUCUAGUUCAGUAACAUUUGUACAGAACUAAUAGUUCUAAAGUGUGUUUUUGUUGAUUAAUGGAGCAUCUUUUAUCAGCCUUUUCCCAUCACUGUUUAUGUGGGCUGCUCUGUGUAGCAGAGCUGUGUGUUUCAGACAAGGCCGAUGCCAAGUGAUUCAUACACAAAUGACCUGAGGGAGGCAGCAGUGCAGCGAACAAAUGUGAGCACAGCAUCUCACACUCCUGAGUGUGCUUUAAAGGCCAUUUACAUAGUGAAAUCUAAUUACCCCAGCUCUAUGAGAGACUAUUUGAUCUCAAUCUUAACAGAGCAGAACAUAUUAUUAAGAAAAAAAGGGGGCUUUUCUUAGAUGAAGGUGGCUUACUGAACAGGCGAAUAAGCUUGUACACAAUUCAGCACUCCCUUUUUAAUUAUUUUCCAACAUAGAUGAAAAGAGGAGAACACUGAUUUAUUUGUGUCCUGGGAGACAAUGUGGGCUUUUGAGCCACAGAACCCAAAAUAGAGGAACUUGGUGGACAGUGGUGGGAGAACAAAAUCGCCCUUUUUUUUUGUUGUUUUGGCUUCAAGGGAAAUCAAAAGUUCCCAGAAUGGUUCAACCUUAUUUCUGAGAAAAAUGCUGCUUUUAGCGUCAGGCAUCAACAUCAUCAUUAUUACAGCAAAGCCACACGAGUUCUUCCACACAGGUCCCAUAGGUGACGAAUGUCGGCAUUUCCUCACAUUAAUAAUUACUUUUGUGUUUUGUGCAGGUUUUUAACUUAAACCGUAUACAAUAGAUCAUUUUAAAUCCUAACAUGCUACACAUAUUUACAUAUACUUUCUGCAGAACAAAUUACAGCACUUUAUGCCUUUUUCUUUUUUUUUUUAACAAAAGCUGAAAAUGGUACAUCUUUAUGUCCUAUUCAAAUCCACUUUAGUAAGUUUGAUUUGUGACCAUGGUCAUAUUUUAGCAAGAUAAUGACUGUCAGACUAUUUUUUCAGCAACAAAAACUCCAGUUUCUUAGCCCAUCAAUUUUACUUAGUAAAACCAAGCAUACCACUGCUUUAAUAAUUUAAAAAAAGGCAAUGGUAGUUUAGAAAUGUACUCAAAAUCUAUGAAUAUUCUCAAUGAAAUGGGAGCUCAGUGUGAUGUGUUGAGAGCUGUAAGUGUCAAAAGUGCUAAUUUAUCAAAACAUACAGCAUAGUUACACACAUGCGCCACUUUCAGAGCAGAAGUUGCUUUUAUUUUACGUUAUUUAAAAGCAUAAUACACCAUUCAUAAAUCCAUGCUUUUCAGCUCUGUUAUUAGAAAAAAUAGAAUGAUAGGAAAAUGUCAUUUUUGCAGAAAUUAUCAAAUGCCAGCUUGGACAUUGUUACUUAGGGGUUCCCAAACCUUUCAGCCCAUGUGAGGAGGUAAAAUGAGUACUAUCAGGUGCAAAAGUGGACAGUAAAACAUAAAAACCACAGCAAGCUAAACAAGCAUAAUUUUUAUUUAUUUAUUUUUAUGCUAAUUCAAAAAAGACUAGAAGCAAAUCGUCAUGUUUAGACUGUAGCAGUGAUAAGACAAUAUUUAAUGAAUGAGUAUUAAGUGAGUCUGUGAAUCUCCGUGAUUAAGACAAGUCUAACACUUGAGGCUUCAUUUAAAGGGUCUGCAGAAAAAAAAACAGAGUGCACAUGUAACUGUGAUAGCUGUGCUGCCAUUGAUAGUUUUAUCAGUCAGGGUCAAGUGGCAAUAAAGGACAGUAGAUAAGGGAUGUGGAGUAUUAUUUGUAUGGUAUGACUUAUAGUUUUGUUCAUUUAAAACCAACACGUAUUUGUGUGUAUUUUAACAAUUACUGAUAAAUUAUGCCAUUAUCAAUAGUUCAAAAUCAAGUCUCUCCCGUAUCAGUGUCUCAUCACCCCCAUUUUGGGAACCUUUGACUUAAACCACAUUCGACCACUGAUUUCAUUUCUUUUGUCCAGUCCUGAUUCUGAAUGUUCAGUGUAUGUAUAUACGUGUGAUUGCUACACACAUUUGACUACAUGUAUGUUUCUUCUCUCCUUUUGUUGUGUUCAUACACUUCCUAGUCUCACAAAUUUCUGCCUCCAUAAUCUACUGGAUGUUUUUUUGCAUUACUCUUGGAUCGUCUAGUGCUUCUAACUUGCCUUUAUUAUGUAUCCCAAAAUUAGAGCGCUCCCAAAAUCACCACAGGAAAAGGGCCCUUGCUCUUUCCAUUUCUUUGUUCUUGCUCAUACAAAAAUCAUACAUAAUUGUACUCUCCAUGAAGAUUUUUUAGCUUUGACCUUUAGAGUGCAGUAAUAUAGAAAAUGAUGAGGAGCAGAUUUCCUGCUUCUCAGCCACAUCUCUUUCCACAUCUCCUCUUCUUUGAGGAAUAGAUUCUGUCUGCUGGGUAUGUUGAUACUAUUAGUACCAGUGUUACCACUGUUACAAAAUAGGCAUACAGCAACACAGUGUUGUAUUGUCUUAUUUGAAUAUCACUCUUUUUAGGAUCCAGAUUCUUUUUUUUGGGGGGCUUAAGAACUGAAGCAAAAUUGAUAAAAUAUUUACAAAACCUUUAGUAUUCGCCACUUUUGAGUAAUGUUAGUGCCUUUCCUUGUAAAGUCAUGUCAACUAUAACACAACUAAAAUAUCGUCAGAAAAGGAAGUUUAUCUAGGAUUUAAAAAUAUAUCUCAAAACAAACUCUAAAAGAGUAAAAUCUUGCACUUUUUCUGUACAAUGCAGUUUCCCUCAACAAAAACCUGCCUUUCUGCAGACCCAGCAGGGAUCUACGUAUAAUAACAUUUGUAGGAGCCUAUGGAUUUGCUGUGUAGAGAACUUGUUUGGUAUAUGUUGGCUGUUAGAGUAGUGCAUUGUGGAGCCAGCAUGUCUCCAGAUCUAAUGGCUUCACCAGGGAAAACAAUCAGGAUGACUUCAGUGUAUCAUCAGGGUGGUGGUAAGCUGCAGGAGAGAGCAGCGAGCUCUCUGCUAUUCCCUUAAAGCAACGUGAAGUUCGCUCCUGCUCCAAUAAUCUGGGCUGGGAUCUCAAAAUCACGAUAGGGAGCAUUGUUGUUCCCUCGGUCUAUCCACAGACCCAACAUGUGGUGUGCUGCUCAUUUCCGUAGCUGCCCUGUGGUUUCUUGUAGACUUUCUCAACCAGCCCAUGAAUGCAGGUUUCAAGAAGUGAGACUAGUGGGAGCCAUUUCUCACCAAAAGCAAAAGUAAGCUUUUGCUUCAGAGAACAUCCCCAGUGUCCAUGUUAAUCAUGUUUUUUUUUUUUUUAUUAAUUUAUUUUUUCCCAUGUUUUUUUUUUUUUAGAUCUUUGUUGGUCACAUGAAGAAAACUGGAAAUCAAAUAAUACUGAAUCAAUCAAGGAAUCAAAGAACACUUAAAGUUUUGGCCAGUGGUGGGAUAAAGUGUGAGAGGGCCAUUUUUUUCUUAGAAAAACAAAAGUAGACUUAACACAGUACUCUAAAUGUCUAAAAUACAGAAUCUCUAAAAGUACAAAAUUAUUUUUUUUCGCCCAUUUUGUCGUGAUAAUGAGAUAAUUUCAGUGUUUUUCUUGAGAUCUUAAAUUAUUUUUCUUAUCUUGAGAAAGCAAAGUUUGCUUUCUCAAGAUACUGGGAAUUUUUUUCUUAUCUCAAGACACGAAGCUCUCUUUGAAGAUUAUGAGUCAAAUUACUGGCAACCUGGAAACUUUGUGCACAAGCAGCAAGAAACACAGUAACAAACUUACCUUGAUAGUCUGUGCUGCUAUGGUGUGGCACAUGAUGAUCUGGUUAAUAAAAGUGAUGAGCCUUUUGCUCUGGUUUCUAGAUUGCCAACAAAUGAUGUGUUAAAAGAAAAUAGCUCAGUUUUCUUCAGAUAAUGACAAAAAAAAAAGUUCUAGAGAAAAAAACUAAAAUUAUCUUGUUAUCGUGACAAAACAGGCAAACUGUUUCUCGGUUCAUGUGGAAGAGGAAUACUUUCUGGUUGUGGAUUUAUCAGUAACACAGAACAACCCCACAGUCUAUCCCUGAUCCAUGUGGACCCCAACGAGAUUUUUAACUGCUAACCCUGUCUGAAGGUAACAGCACAGCAUAAAGGAACAUAGUUUACUUUACUAAACACGAGUAAACCUGCAAAAUACAUGUGUUUGGGCUCUCUGCAGACACAACACAAACAUGCGAAUCAAUUGUUUGUGUAAAUUAAGAGUCAUUCACAAGAAUUAAGCAAGUAAAUACGCAACAUUUGUGUGUCCAGUUACAAGCGAUUUAAGCGAAUAGAUGAUUUAACUCAUUAUUGGUGUGAGCAUGGCAUAAAAAUCACUGCAAAAUAACUGAGGAACCCAAAAUGUAGACUUCACUGAAAAAAGUUUCAAAAUUAAUCAAAAAGGCAAGGAAUAACAAAAAUCAUACUGUACAAACUAACUAAAAUUCCAACCC
rnacentral:lncRNA from 1 species